UACGGAGGGUGCAAGCGUUAAUCGGAAUUACUGGGCGUAAAGGGCGCGUAGGCGGUUGGAUAAGUCAGCUGUGAAAACCACGGGCUUAGCUCGUGGCCUGCAGUUGAGACUGUCUGGCUUGAGUGUGGGAGAGGAGAGUGGAAUUCCUGGUGUAGCGGUGAAAUGCGUAGAUAUCUGGAGGAACACCGGUGGCGAAGGCGACAUCCUGGACCGGUAUUGACGCUGAGGCGCGAAAGCCAGGGGAGCAAACGGG
rnacentral:rRNA from 1 species